rnacentral:rRNA from 1 species
CUUGCCAGGGGACUACGAGCCCCAGCUUAAAACCCAAAGGACUUGGCGGUGCUUUAGACCCCCCUAGAGGAGCCUGUUCUAGAACCGAUAACCCCCGUUUAACCUCACCCUCUCUUGUUUUCCCCGCCUAUAUACCGCCGUCGUCAGCUUACCCUGUGAAGGACUAAUAGUGAGCGUAAUUGGUACAACCCAAAACGUCAGGUCGAGGUGUAGCGUAUGAGAGGGGAAGAAAUGGGCUACAUUCACUGAGUCAGUGAAAACGAACGAUGCCUUGAAACACUUAUCUGAAGGAGGAUUUAGCAGUAAGAGGGCAGUAGAGCGCCCCUCUGAAACCGGCCCUGAAGCGCGCACACACCGCCCGUCACUCUCCCCAAGUGCCAGAAAAUAACUAAAUAAAUAGAAAAAUAAACAAAGGGGAGGCAAGUCGUAACAUGGUAAGUGUACCGGAAGGUGCACUUGGACAAAC